GGAUCGCGGCGACGCCGGCGGUCCGCCGCCGUUGUUGUUGUGAGAAGUUCAUUAAACCUUAUCAUUUAGAGGAAGGAGAAGUCGUAACAAGGUUUCCGUAGGUGAACCUGCGGAAGGAUCAUUG
rnacentral:rRNA from 1 species